rnacentral:rRNA from 1 species
UACGAAGGGGGCUAGCGUUGUUCGGAAUCACUGGGCGUAAAGGGCGCGUAGGCGGCCAUUUAAGUCGGGGGUGAAAGCCUGUGGCUCAACCACAGAAUUGCCUUCGAUACUGUAUGGCUCGAGACCGGAAGAGGUAAGUGGAACUGCGAGUGUAGAGGUGAAAUUCGUAGAUAUUCGCAAGAACACCAGUGGCGAAGGCGGCUUACUGGUCCGGUUCUGACGCUGAGGCGCGAAAGCGUGGGGAGCAAACAGG